rnacentral:rRNA from 1 species
GACGAACGCUGGCGGCGUGCCUAACACAUGCAAGUCGAGCGGAGAUGAUGUGAGGAAGUUUUCGGAUGGAGUCACAUUAUUUUAGCGGCGGACGGGUGAGUAACGCGUGAGCGACCAACCUUGCACAGGGGGAUAACGGACCGAAAGGUUCACUAAUACCGCAUGAGACCACGGAGUUGCAUGACACAGGGGUCAAAGGAGGAAUCCGGUGCAAGACGGGCUCGCGUCCGAUUAGGUAGUUGGAGGGGUAACGGCCCACCAAGCCUAUGAUCGGUAGCCGACCUGGGAGGGUGAUCGGCCACAUUGGAACUGAGAUACGGUCCAAACUCCUACGGGAGGCAGCAGUGGGGAAUAUUGGGCAAUGGGGGAAACCCUGACCCAGCAACGCCGCGUGAAGGAAGAAGGUUUUCGGAUUGUAAACUUCUGUCCUUGGUGAAGAGAAGAAGACGGUAGCCAAGGAGGAAGCCCCGGCUAACUACGUGCCAGCCGCCGCGGUAA